CUUGAAUAAAUAUAAGAGGUCCAGCCUGCCCAGUGACAAUGUUCAACGGCCGCGGUAUCCUAACCGUGCGAAGGUAGCGUAAUCACUUGUUCUUUAAAUAAGGACUAGUAUGAACGGCACCACGAAGGUUACACUGUCUCCUCUUUCUAAUCAGUGAAACUAAUCUCCCCGUGAAGAAGCGGGGAUAAAGAUAUAAGACGAGAAGACCCUAUGGAGCUUUAAACUACAAGGCACUUGCCCCUAUAUAAUCAAAUUCCAGAAAAUCAUUACCACCCAGGCAACAUGACCUUUAGUUUUAGGUUGGGGUGACCGCGGAGCAAAGAAAAACCUCCACAUUGAAAGGAGACCUCUCCUUAGCCAAGAGCCACACCUCUAAGCACCAACAAAAAGACAUUAAUUGACCCAAUAUUUUUGAUCAACGAAC
rnacentral:rRNA from 1 species